CUACGUGCCAGCAGCCGCGGUAAUACGUAGGUCCCGAGCGUUGUCCGGAUUUAUUGGGCGUAAAGCGAGCGCAGGCGGUUAGAUAAGUCUGAAGUUAAAGGCAGUGGCUCAACCAUUGUAGGCUCUGGAAACUGUUUAACUUGAGUGCAGAAGGGGAGAGUGGAAUUCCAUGUGUAGCGGUGAAAUGCGUAGAUAUAUGGAGGAACACCGGUGGCGAAAGCGGCUCUCUGGUCUGUAACUGACGCUGAGGCUCGAAAGCGUGGGGAGCGAACAGGAUUAGAUACCCUGGUAGUCCACGCCGUAAACGAUGAGUGCUAGGUGUUAGGUCCUUUCCGGGACUUAGUGCCGCAGCUAACGCAUUAAGCACUCCGCCUGGGGAGUACGACCGCAAGGUUGAAACUCAAAGGAAUUGACGGGGGCCCGCACAAGCGGUGGAGCAUGUGGUUUAAUUCGAAGCAACGCGAAGAACCUUACCAGGUCUUGACAUCCCGAUGCCCGCUCUAGAGAUAGAGCUUUAYU
rnacentral:rRNA from 1 species